AUAAUUCCGGAUAUCCCUUUUCUGUUGGAAGACUUAAAGGGACAAAGAGUUUCGCCUGAGGAUGGGUCUGCGGCCUAUCAGGUUGUAGGGGGUGUAAGGUACCUCCUAGCCGACGACGGGUACGGGUUGUGAGAGCAAGAGCCCGGAGAUGGAUUCUGAGACAUGAAUCCAGGCCCUACGGGGCGCAGCAGGCUCGAAAACUUUACAAUGCAGGAAACUGUGAUAAGGAGACACCGAGUGCUCGCAUCAAAUGCGGGCUGUCCGCUUACUUAAAUCGUAAGCGUUAGCAAGGGCCGGGCAAGACCGGUGCCAGCCGCCGCGGUAAUACCGGUGGCCCGAGUGGUAGCCGCUUUUAUUGGGUCUAAAGGGUCCGUAGCCGGUUCGGUCAGUCCAUUGGGAAAUCCGGAUGCUCAACAUCCGGGCUUCCAGUGGAUACUGCCGAACUUGGGAUCGGGGGAGGUAAGAGGUACUAUAGGGGUAGGAGUGAAAUCUUGUAAUCCCUGUGGGACCACCUGUGGCGAAGGCGUCUUACCAAAACGAGUCCGACGGUGAGGGACGAAAGCUGGGGGCACGAACCGGAUUAGAUACCCGGGUAGUCCCAGCCGUAAACGAUGCUCGCUAGGUGU
rnacentral:rRNA from 1 species